CCCAUGGCCAUGGAGUACUUCGCUAUAGGUUGAUUAGCGGUGACCAGAACGUUAAGGGUCUGGCCAGGUCCAAGCAUAACGUGGUCGGUGGUGAAGGGCUUUGUGUACUCAGCAUCGGCUUCGACUAUUGUUAAUUUGUGAUUUGCAAUGGCAAAGAAGUGCUCCGUGUUCAGUGAUGCGCUGAUUAACCUCAACAGGACGCUGUUCAAGAAAGCAUGCAAGAGGAGAAUUUAGGUUAUGGCAAAUGUGAAACAUUCAGCUAGUUGAUUUAGCUGGCGGUUAUGCUGCUCCAAAAGAGCAUCACUGUGUGCUACUGUCAUUUAUGACAAAGGGGAUACCCAAAAAGAAGAAGAAAUAAAAAGUGUGGCCUUUGUUUUGCUUUUGUUCAACACCCUUUUACUCCAUGCACAAACAGAGAGAUGUGCACGCCUUGGCAAUUCCCUACCUUUUCCAGGGCCAUAAUAAGCUAGGAAAGACCUAUUCAUUCUGUCCACCGGAACAUCACAGGUGGUGGUAGCCAGUACUUAACUGCUAGAAUCCGUUUAUUGUUACUUUUGUUCAUUUGGUACCCUGUGCUUAAAUUAAAGCAGCAGCCUACUUGACUAUUAAUGAACAAUUUAAUCCGUGGUGAUCAGGAUGGAAUGUCAAUUUUUUUUUUUUCAGUAAUGCCAACUACAGAAUAAAAUUUCAAUUG